rnacentral:misc_RNA from 1 species
UGGCUGAUGGCGGCCGAG